GAGUAAUGAUGAAAAGGUUUUAGUACUAACCUUUAUAACUGUGAAGAUGUGUACACUUGAUCUGAGCUCA